UCUAUGAGUCCCAGGGGCAGUCAGAUUUCACUUAGGAAUACUGGCAUCAGAUUACCGUAAUUAUGCUCUUCAAGGAUAUGUGGAGAUUGGCCCCUUUGGAACUUCAAACCUUCAUAUGUUACUCACAGAUUCCCUGAUGGUCCACAACACUAAUAUUUUGUACCACUCUGAUGGAGAAGCCAGAAAGCAGCCUUCUGUGAGCCAGAACUCCUCUCCUGGAAAAAUUGAAGUCAACAUGCAGAGGAGCAGAGAGAGGAGGAAUUGCAAGGCAAGUGUAGCAAAGCCAACACUCGGAACUAAACUCUUAACUAGUUACUAAUGAAUUAGUGUCUCUCCUUUUCA